rnacentral:lncRNA from 1 species
UGGGUUCCUUUCACCCAUUAGGUCCCUAGUUUUCAGUCAGUUUCUUGAUUCCCUUAUUAUGACUAGACCUAGGGUUUCUUGGAAGUUAGAAUUGUUGGGUUCUUAGCUGUUAGAAUGAUCCAAAUCAGAUUUGUACGUUAAUAUUCAGUUUAAUGCAUGAAUUCCAGAACCCUAGCUAUGUAUUUCUUUAGUUCUUGAAUUACACAUGCUAGGUCAGAUAUUUCAGUUAUUCAG